GACGAACGCUGGCGGCGUGCUUAACACAUGCAAGUCGAACGGAAAGGCCUCUUUCGGGGGGUACUCGAGUGGCGAACGGGUGAGUAACACGUGAGUAACCUGCCCUUGACUUUGGGAUAACUUCAGGAAACUGGGGCUAAUACCGGAUAGGAGCUCCUGCUGCAUGGUGGGGGUUGGAAAGUUUCGGCGGUUGGGGAUGGACUCGCGGCUUAUCAGCUUGUUGGUGGGGUAGUGGCUUACCAAGGCUUUGACGGGUAGCCGGCCUGAGAGGGUGACCGGCCACAUUGGGACUGAGAUACGGCCCAGACUCCUACGGGAGGCAGCAGUGGGGAAUAUUGCACAAUGGGUGGAAGCCUGAUGCAGCAACGCCGUGUGCGGGAGGACGGCCUUCGGGUUGUAAACCGCUUUCGCUCAUGACGAAGCUUUGUGUGACGGUAGUAGGUAAAGAAGCACCGGCUAACUACGUG
rnacentral:rRNA from 1 species